rnacentral:rRNA from 1 species
ACUCAAAGGAAUUGACGGGGGCCCGCACAAGCGGCGGAGCAUGUUGCUUAAUUCGACGCAACGCGAAGAACCUUACCAAGGUUUGACAUCGCCCGCGAUGCCCAUCGGAGAGGGUGGGUCCCUUCGGGGGCGGGUGACAGGUGGUGCAUGGCUGUCGUCAGCUCGUGUCGUGAGAUGUUGGGUUAAGUCCCGCAACGAGCGCAACCCUUGUUCCAUGUUGCCAGCACUUUUAGGUGGGGACUCAUGGGAGACCGCCGGGGUCAACUCGGAGGAAGGUGGGGAUGACGUCAAGUCAUCAUGCCCCUUAUGUCUUGGGCUGCAAACAUGCUACAAUGGCCGGUACAGAGGGUGGCGAUGCCGUGAGGUGGAGCGAAUCCCUAAAAGCCGGUCUCAGUUCGGAUCGGAGUCUGCAACUCGACUCCGUGAAGCCGGAGUCGCUAGUAAUCGCAGAUCAGCAGUGCUGCGGUGAAUACGUUCCCGGGCCUUGUACACACCGCCCGU